UUUUUUUUCUGAGUAUUGUGUUUUCUUCUUCAGUACGACCUGUCAGCUUCCACGUUUUCUCCAGAUGGCAGAGUAUUUCAAGUCGAGUAUGCUAUGAAAGCUGUGGAGAAUAGCAGUACAGCAAUUGGGAUAAGAUGCAAAGACGGUGUUGUCUUCGGAGUAGAAAAACUAGUUCUGUCUAAGCUUUAUGAAGAGGGUUCCAAUAAACGUCUCUUUAAUGUCGAUCGACAUGUUGGAAUGGCAGUAGCGGGACUUCUGGCAGAUGCUCGUUCUUUGGCGGACAUAGCUAGAGAAGAGGCUUCUAACUUUAGGUCUAACUACGGCUACGAUAUUCCACUGAAGCAUCUUGCAGACAGAGUGGCUAUGUAUGUGCAUGCAUACACACUAUACAGUGCUGUCAGACCUUUUGGUUGCAGUUUCAUGCUGGGGUCCUAUGAUGAUGAUGAUGGUGCACAACUAUACAUGAUUGAUCCAUCAGGAGUUUCAUACGGUUAUUGGGGGUGUGCCAUCGGUAAAGCCAGGCAGGCUGCAAAAACAGAGAUAGAAAAACUUCAGAUGAAGGAAAUGACCUGCCGUGAUGUUGUUAAAGAGGUUGCAAAAAUAAUCUACAUAGUUCACGAUGAAGUAAAGGAUAAAGCUUUUGAGCUGGAACUCAGCUGGGUUGGAGAAAUAACCAAUGGAAAACAUGAAAUUGUUCCCAAAGACAUCAGGGAAGAAGCAGAAAAAUACGCCAAGGAAUCUUUGAAAGAGGAAGAUGAAUCAGACGAUGACAAUAUGUAACACAUUGUUACUUCAAGACAAGUUCAACUUUUCUUAACUUAGAACAGAAAAAAAAGACUGUCUAUUCUAGUCACUUCAAAGUCCUGAAAGGCAAGAUCUGAAGCAUGCCAAGCACCAGGUCAUUUGUUGCUUCCUUCUCAUGGACAAAAAGAGCUUGAUGGCCUGAGGGUAAGAGCUCCGCAUGCUGGAAGCGUGACUGUCCCGAGGGACGCAAUCCUGCUUGAGAUGCUGUCGGGCUACAUAGAGCGAGUGACCCUUAAGGAAGAUUUAGAAUAACUACAUACGCUGUUUUGAAAGUCUCUUCCUCAAGAUAAAACUGUAACUACAGAAGGGAAUGCAAACCAGUGAAUUCAGCAAUGCAUCUUAAGCAUUUAUCAGCUGGAAGAUAAUCGUGACCUUAAAUACGGUGCAGAGUUUCAAGAUCCUGAAGAGAAAAAUAGUAUUAGUUGUCAUAAAAAUUUUGAGACUGUAAUAGCACCAGAAAUACAGUAUGGAGACUGUUCUCUCCCCUUCAUUUUCUUCCUUCAGUGGCGUAUGCCAGUAAGACAAGGACUAGCUUUUCCUCCACCCACCAGUUUUUCAGGUUACAUGCAGCAAGGAAGUUACUUUUACUGAAGAAUCCAGAGCUAUUUUGAGACACCAACUGCUUGUAUCUUUCCAUCAUAAAAGCUCUUGCUACCUAUUAUGGCUAAUUAUACAGCGUUGCAGAAAACUGGUGGUAGAAGAGCUAAGAGUGUAGCCUUACUGCUUGUCCAGUAAAUACAUUCUGGCAUUUGAGAAGAUGGGAUCUACAACCAGGCUCAAACCAAGUCUCGUAUUUCCAGAUGGACUACGCAACCACCAUGCAGAGCUCUUUCAUCUUCGGUACAUUGCUAUUAAAGGACUCCGGAACAGUUGUUUAAAAAUGGUUCUUACAAGUUGCUGUGCCAACCAAAAAUGGACAGCUAGAAUGAAGCAGGCAGCAGCAUCACACAGUUUAUAGUCCAAACGUGCAUAUAAUCAGAUAAAGGAAAAACUGAAGUCUCCCCUAAAGAGAGCAUAAGAACCACCCACUGAAAAUACCAUUUUAGGUAAGACAACCCAAGUAAGGGUUUAGAAAGAACAUGGGGUGCUUUAUUGCUGCAUAAAGAUAGAUAUAAUUUGGUAUAUAUGUACUGUCUGCAUAUCCAAAAUAUUUCAUUACGGUACCAGUUUCAGCAGAUUAAUAGUAGGUUCAGUUACAGUAAGCUGAUACAUUCCAAACACACAUACACAAAACCCAAAAACCCACCCAAGUGAUGCCCAAGUUUUUGAAAGUGAAAUUUAUCUUGUUCGCAGGGUUUUUAGACAAGCAGGAAUCUGCUACUUGCAUUAUUUCAGGGAAGGACAGAGACCUAUUACAUUAGAGUGCAUUAACAGGUGUCAAGAGCAGCAGAGGAAGCGCUAGAUGACUUUUAACAGAAUGCUUACAUAAACCUCCAUUUCAGCUCUAAUUCUAGGUGUUUCCACUCUACAAAGCACACCACGCCAGAGACUAUUUUUCCCAAAUAAUUUUCUAUAUACAUCAGCAACAGAAAAAAAAAAUCUGAAAUACUGUUUUAGGAGGCAGAAUCAAAAUGUAGCUUAAUGUCUUUCCUGUCAGUCAGUUUAACAAGCAACUACUUCCCCCAGCCAAAUGCUUGUUUCUGCGCUCAUACCAGUUUGUCCCCCGUUGUGCUGCUUGAUCCAGAAUAAUUAAACUCUCCAAAAAGACAGAUAUUUUGUUCCUUCAGAGUUCUGGAUGUCACACAACACAGCUCAUUUCAGUGGUGCUGUUUACAGCUGUACUGGUGUAACUAAUGGGCUGACAGACUACACAGCAGCACUGCAGAGGAAGGCACAUCCCUGAAGGCACAACCCUUCUGCAGACAGUAUAGUCUUGCAAUUAAUUCACAGGUUAAGUGUGUAUUACACAGUGUUGAUUGGUCAGCUAACUCCCUGGCCAGCUGUAAAUUAGCUACCGUAAUAAUAUCCUCCAAACAAUACAGACAAAUAAAAAGUAUCUUUGGAAAAAGGUGGCUAAGUAGGAAAAAAUUCAGAAGUAAAUCACUGGCCAAACUGUAGAUUCUCACUAACAGCAGCUACUUAUAGCUAAAACCACUUAAUUCAAAAGACUAAGGGCAUUAAUACUUUUAGAAAAGAAUCCACACUGACCAGUCUUGUUAGCUGAGGCUGAAAAGUAAGUUAACCCUAAGUGGUUAAAGUAAUUUGGAGAAGCAAAAGCCCUAGAAGAAAGGCCACAUAACCAGUGCCCUCACAAGCUUGCUUUUACGGAGCAACCAUGCUUUGCAGAAGUAGCACUAAGCUCCUUUGUGCUAGGCUGCGUACACACUGGUUACACGUAAAAGCCACGCAUCCACACUCCUGAUUCCGUCACAUCACACUGCUCUGCGACCUGCAUCUGUAACGAUCCGUUAUUUUAAUCAACAGUUUGUCAGUGCUGACAAGCUUGAGAGUGACACUUGGACCACCUCCAAGGACUCGCCAUCAGUGUUAGAAACCUUUUUUUUUCAUCUCUGCAAGUAUCAAUGGAUAUAUUUGAGUAAAAAUCCAGACUGAUAAGCCACUUAGCAGCGGCUAAGUGAAAAAGCUUGUGUAUUUGAGAACAUAGCUCUUAAGAGCUUUAUUUCCUUCUUGUACUUUUUUAACACGGCUAUUUCUGCAGCAAGAAGUCUUAUGGGAGGGGAAGCCUUCCAAGAUAUAAACUAGGAACAGGGAGCAUAAAUGAGGAAGAUUUGUACUCCAGACUGGCCGUGACAGAUCACUCAAAACUACUGAAAAACAAGACAACCCUGAAUCUACUAGCACAGGUAUUGAGAAAUUAAUCCAACCAAGGUUUGUUCUCUUUGCCAAAGUGAAACAGCAACCUAUUUCAGCUCUCUAACAUCAGCAGCAAUCUACAUCUGAGAUAUGGAUGGCAUUAGACACCCAUUUGGUAUGUUUACUCCCAGUUUGGUGUCACAAAAGGCUGAAAAAGGGACCAUGGCAUUGCUCUAAAGUAGAUCUCAGAAGUUAAAUAUUUAAGGAGGAAUGCCUUCUAUUUCAGAAGCUUAACUAAUUCAAAAGAUUGCAGUAGGGUUCUUCAAAUACAACAUGCAACCUCACGUAAACGUUAAAACUUUAAAGACUUUCUCCUGUUGGUUUUCAUAGCACUGAAAUAUGUAAUUGCCACUCCCAAAAGCACACGGGUUUUGCAUUCAGGUUUCUCCCCGUAUGUUUGAUUUAGAUGGGAGGUUACUCAAGCAGUAGUAUUUAUAAACAAGAUUUGACUCUUCGGAAGAAUAAAGACAGUUUAGAGACUCAGAUGCAAGUUUAAAUGUUUCCAACUUAAGUUUAUUUCAGGAACACUAAAACUGUAUUUGCUCUGUAGACUGCUGACUGACUAUAUUUACACAGAAAACCACUCCCCUAAUCCUGUAGAAAAACGCUCUCUUCUCACCUCGAAAGAGCAAAACUUCCACAGAUAAAAAUGUUCACAUCAGUAAUAAUGUCUACAGCUCGGAAGCCAGGAGAAAAAAAGCCACAUGCUGUAGAGGUAAUUUGGAAGCCAGUUUAGAAGUUCAGAGAGUUUUAAAACCUCAAUUUUACAACACUGGAAUAGCGGAUGCACUGACACAGCCCAUAUGUGCACAUGCAUAAGAUACAUUUCUAGUGCUAACUAUGUCCUGUGCCUGUCAAAAAAAAAGUUAUUCAUAAAGCCUGAAACAGAAGGUUUGAUUACUCACUGAACAACAGGUAGAUCUAAUCCUUCGCCUUUACAGCUGGCAUUCACAGACAAACUGUUAUUUUGAAAAAUAUGUAAGGAUGCUCUCCUUCGGCAGCCGUGUGGAGUAACAUUACUACCCAGAACAGUAACUACACUCGCGUUUGACUUCAAGCAUCUACUUCAGGUUUUGAAAGAGAGACUCAUCACUCGAUUGCAGAUGACGACAACUGAAGUCCUUUGCCACAUCUAAAUUAAAGCUGCUGUAAAUCUCCAGCUUCUCUGUAGGACUGUGUGCUAUUGUUUCACAACACUGCACGACUUCCCCAGCGUAGCUGUAAUAGCCUCACUGAUGUCACUGACUUGAACCUGUAGUCCUUAGAAGUAAUACAAGAAAUUAAGGGGAUUUGUAAUCAAAUUCCCUAUCUUGCAUCCCUUUGCUAGGCAACAGAAGAGAAAUUAAACACCUAUAUUUGGAUAAUUGAAUAGCACAUGCCAAAACAUGCAAAAACUGGCUUUAGAAGCCAAUCUUAAGUAAACCCUGGCAACGGGCACCCUUCUUCCAUAGUUGCUAAAUUAGCUAAUGUUAACAUUUGAUACAAAUAUGCGAGCUAUCGUAAUAGAAAAUUACAUACCAGAAAGAAUAAAAAUAGUCUCUUACAAUACAGCUCUUACUCUGUCCAAACAUAAGAUUACCAAAUCAGUCUUAAAAAAAGGAACAUUUUAUGUUUGGAAUUAAAAGAUUGCAUGAUACAUGCCAGAACACCCCCGCACAGCUAACAGGCUAGGAUGAAAGCAGCAGUUACAUCAGUUGAGAACUCAUCCCUCUUCUCUCAGUGCUGGGCUUCUAAUAACACACAUCAGGUAAUGCAUCACUGGUUUCUGCACACAUUUUACAACACAUGGGAUUGCAGUUAAGAUCUGCAGCCGCAAAGCACAACAAAGUCUGGACAUCGUUUAUUCAGUAGAAAUAGGACUACUUCUCCCUGGAGAUCUCUGAAGCCGUUAACAGGAGCUACUCUGACAGGCUGAGCACAUAACAUCAGUUUAUUAGCAUUACUGGAAAAAAAAGCAACUACAAAGUGAGUGUUAUUGUUAGCUGCAGAGCUGACAGGAAACCAAAUUCUGAGAUUUUUCUCACACAAAUAUUUACGAGAGAGUACUCUGUGUUGUAAAUAUUUUCAUGAUUAUUCCUAUCCAGAAGAGAUACUGCACUGCUUCAAAACAUACCCAUACCAGAUUCAAGAAGCCACUACUAAACUUCAGUGGAUAUAAUGCACUGUUUCAGGCUUCCCAAGGGUUACUAAACUUUGUGUCUUCUCCAGCAUCAACACUCACAAGGAAAUGAUGCAAACCAGCAUGCACAGUUAUGUUUGAAUAACUAAAUAUCCAUUUUUCUCAACAUGGGGACAGGAACAUGCCAGAGCUGGGGAAACUGUAAGUAGACAUUUAGCAUUACCAAGUAUUUUUGUUUGGGGUUUUUUUUCCCCAUUUUCUCUCUCUCACUCACUCACAUACGAUAAUAAAUAGGAAGGAACUUAACUGCUGAUAGUUAACAGUAAAGCACAAUUUUCUCCAUGACUAAGAAAGAAGGUUUGACCUUUAAUUUUUCUAAUGCACCUAUUUUACUGACUGAAUUUUUCUGUUGUCAACUUCAACAUUUGUUGGGAUUUCUUCCUUUAUACCUGCACACUAAGUACUACACAACUUCUUACCACGCUCUUGUCUGCACAGUUUGCAAUCACUUAGAUAGUAAAGCUUUGUGGGAAGCAUCUGACCUUCGUUUGUACAGAAAUACAGCAGUUCCACACAGACAGGGGUUCUGAACCGCAAGGCAGAUGCUUGCUCAACCACCACUGGAAAAAAUGUUGCCUAUUUACUUACAGAAUAGAAACACCAAGGGGAAGAGCAUUAAAAAAAAAAA